GGAUUGUGCCUCAGUGGUAGAGUGCUUGCCUAGCAUGCAUUAAGCACUGGGUUCAAUCCCCAACACCA
rnacentral:tRNA from 1 species